rnacentral:rRNA from 1 species
UGGCGGACGGGUGAGUAACGCGUAAAGAACUUGCCCUUUAGACUGGGAUAACAGAGGGAAACUUCUGAUAAUACUGGAUAAGUUAGUAUAUGCAUGAUAUGCAAAUGAAAGCUACGGCACUAAAGGAGAGCUUUGCGUCCUAUUAGCUAGUUGGUAAGGUAAGAGCUUACCAAGGCGAUGAUAGGUAGCCGGCCUGAGAGGGUGGACGGCCACAAGGGGACUGAGAUACGGCCCUUACUCCUACGGGAGGCAGCAGGU